rnacentral:rRNA from 1 species
UACAGGGGGUGCAAACGUUGCUCGGAAUCAUUGGGCGUAAAGCGCACGUAGGCGGUCUGUUAUGUCGGAUGUGAAAGCCCUUGGCUCAACCUAGGAACUGCACUCGAAACUGUUUAUCUUGAGUGCCGGAGAGGAAAGCGGAAUUCCUGGUGUAGAGGUGAAAUUCGUAGAUAUCAGGAGGAACACCAGUGGCGAAGGCGGCUUUCUGGACGGUAACUGACGCUGAGACGCGAAAGCGUGGGGAGCAAACAGG